rnacentral:rRNA from 1 species
UACAGAGGUGGCGAGCGUUGUUCGGAUUUACUGGGCGUAAAGGGCGCGUAGGCGGCGCCGCGAGUCUCGUGUGAAAUCCCCGGGCCCAACCCGGGAAGUGCGCGAGAUACCGCGGCGCUCGAGUGCGGGAUGGGGGAUCGGAAUGCAGGGUGUAGCGGUGAAAUGCGUUGAUAUCCUGCAGAACACCGGAGGCGAAGGCGGAUCCCUGGAACGCAACUGACGCUGAGGCGCGAAAGCCGGGGGAGCAAAC